GGAGAGAUGGUUCAGUGGUUAAGAACAUUUGUUGAUCUUACAGAGGACCUGGGUUCAUUUCCCAGCAUCCCCA
rnacentral:tRNA from 1 species